rnacentral:rRNA from 1 species
GAUGAACGCUGGCGGCGUGCAUAAUACAUGCAAGUCGAGCGAACAGACGAGGAGCUUGCUCCUCUGACGUUAGCGGCGGACGGGGGAGUAACCUGUGGAUAAACUACCUAUAAGACUGGGAUAACUGCGGGAAACCGGAGCUAAUACCGGAUAAUAUAUUCAACCGCAGGGUUCGAUAGUGAAUGACGGUUUUGCUGUCACUGAUAGAUGGAUCCGCGUCGCAUUAGCUAGUUGGUCAGGUAACGUCUUACCAGGGCAACGAUGCGUAGCCGGCCCGAGAGAGUGAUCGGCCACACUUUAACUGAGACACCGUCCAGACUCCUACGAGAUGCAGCAGUAGGCAACCUUCCGCAAUGCUCCAUAGCCUGACGGAGCAACGCCGCGUGAGUGAUGAACGUCUUCGGUUCGUAAAACUCUCUUGUUAGGGAAAAACAAAUGUGUAAGUAACUAUGCACUUCUUGACGGUACCGCAUCAGAAAGCCUCGGCUAACUACGUG